CAGUCGCCGCGGUAAUACGUAGGUGGCAUGCGUUGUCCGGAUUUAUUGGGUUUAAAGGGAGCGUAGGCUGGAGAUUAAGUGUGUUGUGAAAUGUAGACGCUCAACGUCUGACUUGCAGCGCAUACUGGUUUCCUUGAGUACGCACAACGUUGGCGGAAUUCGUCGUGUAGCGGUGAAAUGCUUAGAUAUGACGAAGAACUCCGAUUGCGAAGGCAGCUGACGGGAGCGCAACUGACGCUUAAGCUCGAAGGUGCGGGUAUCAAACAGGAUUAGAUACCCGGGUAGUCCCUGUCUCUUAUAC
rnacentral:rRNA from 1 species